rnacentral:lncRNA from 1 species
GAUAUACCACUAUAAGAAUUUGCGGUGGAGGUGUGACUCAGCUCAGAUCAACCCCAUAGGAAUACAGAAAGAAACAGCCCUACUGGAUUUUGGAUCAAUGGCAAAACCAACCCUACUAUCUUUUGAAUCAAUAGCAGCACAUAGGUAGCGCAAUGCACUUGACUCAUUCUACUUAGAAUAGGGAUAAUACUAAGCUCAAACAGGAGAAUGAACUAUAUGAUAGGUGUUGGGUCGACGACACCCCUUCGCUCGUACUAUUCUUUACAUCCGGGGAUCGGGCAAGGAAGGAUAUGGGUUUUCUAUUACAACACAGUAUAUAGUUUUUCUAUGGCAAAUAAGAAUUCAAAGGUGGAAAACAACUUCAUAAGCCCUAACCAUUAUAAGAAUCAAUCUCAGAAUACAGAAUUCAAGUAAUAUGUACCAGAAUGCAAAUACAGCUAUCGUACUUUACCUACAGCUUCCGAGCCCUACUCUUUGCCUUACUCUUUAGUUCGCCCAAGCCGCCUUACGACCUACAUCGCUACCCAAGCCUUACUUUUCCGCUUCUCUCUUCCCCUCCGUCCUCGCUGGAAUUCUCUCUUUUCUUCCUAAAUAGCUUGUCAUUAUUCAAUUGACUUAUAUUCAUUAUAAUGAUUCUGUUAACUUCUAUUAAUUAUUUGACUUACUUAUAUUUCUCAUAUAUUUAUUUAGAUUCUAUUUGAGAGUAGUUAAUUAGAUAAACAAGUAUAGAACCUAGGUCGAAAAAGAUAUCUUCUUUGUCAAUUGAACGAUGGAGCUAUGGUUCCGGUGUGAAGUAAACAUCCCUAUUAUUCUCAGUAUUCUUAGUAAAGCAAUAGGCUACCCGAAUGGAACACCUACUGGAUAACAAGGUACGAGCAUCGGCUAACAAGACUAUAGCUCAAGACAGGUAAUUCACCAGUACCCUUAACGACUGUAACAAGGAAUACAUAAUGCAAGUCAGAAGGCAAAGAGCAGGUAUCGGAUCGGCAAAGAGCUGGUAUCGGAUCGGCUUCAUUUCGAUUCUUUUAUUUCUUCUUUUUCUCCAUAGUUGGCCAACCAAUGCUUCUCAUCCUUUAGCUCGAUUCUAAUAGGACCUUAGCCCGGAACGUAGCUUGCCCCACUCUACUGAUGAGGAUGAAAACACCGCGAACAGGGCUAGAGCUCCCACUGACAAGGAUCGAACUAAUGCCAACAAGACUUCACUCAGGAAUCAACCUACUCCUAGUAAGCGCUAACCUAGGAACUCCGCCUAUAUUCCUUACCCAUGAGCCUGCCCCGCUUUCACUUCAUUAUUUACCUUAUGAUAGGUAGUUGGGCUAGUGCUUCUAAUACUUAAACAAGAAACUGGGAACCCGGCUUACUACUUAGAAUACUUACAUCCCAUAACACUUAGAAGAUACUUACUUCACAAACUAACCAAGGCUACCUAUCUUUGUUUUCAGUCCAGCAUUGCUCUAUCUCAUUCUACUGCUCUUUGCUUCGAAUCUGAUAUUACAGUAAAACAACAGGACUUUAACUCAUAACCAGUAAUUCGACUGGUGCUUCUAAGCCUUCCCUACUAACCUCGAACCUAGCUUUACCACAACUUAGCCUCUAUACACCUUUGCUUUUAGUCUUAUACUUGUUCCUUCGACUCCGAUAUGCGAGUUAGGUUCACCAAGCGACUACCCUCCCCUGACUUUAGUAUGAGAGGUGCUCUUUUCAGUAUUGUUGGCAUUAGUAUAAGUUUGAGAUAAAGCAGUGCCAGGCCAAUGGAAGGUAUAGACAUACAGGUAAUCCGGAAAGUCAUAAUAGAGUGCUCCUCCAAGGUGAUAGAGUGAAAGUAGUGGUACAAUUUUAGAUACAGUAAAGCAAGGCUCUUAGACAGAGUAUUAGAAUUCCAAAUAGUAGUAGAACAAUCAAAGGCAGGAAUGGCAGUGGAAAUGCAAGGAAGCUAAGCCUAACAAGCAAGACUCUAAGUAAGGGUUGAGAUCCGUAAUGUCAAGUUUUACACAGGAGAAUAGGAAUUAGGUCCGGCAAUUGCAGUUGAAAAGAAAGGAGAGUCAGCUUUAGGCGCAGUAAAGCAAUCCUGAGAUAUAGUCAAAGUGAGCUUUGAGUUCAGUAGCUAAAGGAUGAGAAGCAUGAUUGAUUUUAUAUACUCCCGGCGCGGGUUCUAAGCCUGAAGCCUUUCAGCGAGGAUGGAAGUCCGUGGUUUAAUAACAAGAGAAGUCCGUUUUCGAAUGAGAGAGUAGUAAAUGAGGUUCGGUCGGGGUCACGAGUAGUAGGCUUGGUUUGUGAAGUCCGUUUUCUAAGUAGUAGCUGACCUAGUUGAGUUCCGGCUUCUUUCUUUUCUUCUUAUGAUCCGGGGGUUUACUCCGGUACUAAUGUGAGUAUUCCCUUUCUGGUGUUUAUUCCUCUGAGUCAACUUCAUUCUUAGUAGUUGUAGCUCGAUUCUGAUAGAGUCGCCCGGGUUCCCU